AUGCUGCUCAGCUGUUGGGAGAGGCCAGCAGGACUCCUGCCCCCGGGGUCAUCUGGAAGCAAGAGAGCCUGCUGCCAUCAGUGUGGGUCUCCAAGCUGCCUUGGGCUCUGUCUGCUGUCGCAGAGGCUUUUACAGAUGCUCAUUAAAAACAGACCUCCCUGUGCGCUCUGCUUGAUUGCCCUCAGAAGGAAGAAGACGUCCUUUGGGGGGGGGGUCUGCUCAGCCCCACUGCGACCUGCAGGGUGGCCUCGCGGGAGGUCCGUGGGCUGGGGGCCACACAGGCCUCCGGCCGGGGCUCCCCCUCCAGGCCCUCUCACUCCUAGAGCCCAGACCGGCGGGGCCUGCUGGGAGGGUCCCGAGGACCCAGCUGGUCAUGGUGGGCCCGAAACAAGCUGGGGCCACACUGGAGCAGUGGCUCUUGUUUCUCCAUCUCUUCCCUCCUGGGUUACAGUGCAGAAGGUGAUGAUUAACUUUUAUUUCUGUAGAAGCAACGAGAGGAACUGGGCUGGAAGGACAGCGAGAGAAGGUUAGAUUAGACCUGGAAAACCCACCCAGGGUCAUGAAGAUUGUGAACUUUGAGCCUAACAGGUCACUCGGGUUGUGGACUUUGUCCUUGAAAUUUUUUUUUUUUUUUUUAGGAACAAGCUGCCCAGCCAUUGAAUUUUUUUUUCAGCUCAGAGGCACGAGAAUGGAUCAGAUGGACCUUACGAAGUCCUUUUCAGACUUAAGAGUCUAGAAGUCUCAUA
rnacentral:lncRNA from 1 species